rnacentral:rRNA from 1 species
AGAGUUUGAUCCUGGCUCAGGAUGAACGCUGGCGGCGUGCUUCAUACAUGCAAGUCGAACGAGAAUUUGGAGCUUGCUCCAAAGGAAAGUGGCGGACGGGUGAGUAAUACAUAGGGAAUCUGCCCUUAGCUGGGGGACAACAGUUGGAAACGACUGCUAAUACCGCAUAUGAGCUAACCUGAAAUGGUUAUCUUGAAAACUCCGGUGGCUAAGGAUGAGCCUGUGCCUGAUUAGCUUGUUGGCGGGGUAAUGGCCCACCAAGGCGACGAUCAGUAGCUGGUUUGAGAGGAUGAUCAGCCACAAUGGGACUGAGACACGGCCCAUACUCCUACGGGAGGCAGCAGUAGGGAAUUUUGCGCAAUGGGCGAAAGCCUGACGCAGCAACGCCGCGUGUGUGAUGAAGCCCCUAGGGGUGUAAAACACUGUCAGUAGGGACGAAUUUUGACGGUACCUACAGAGGAAGCACCGGCUAACUCCGUGCCAGCCGCCGC